UACGUAGGGUGCGAGCGUUAAUCGGAAUUACUGGGCGUAAAGCGCACGCAGGCGGUUUNUUAAGCUAGAUGUGAAAGCCCCGGGCUCAACNUGGGAUGGNCNUUUNGAACUGGCAGACUAGAGUCUUNGAGAGGGGAGUNGAAUUCCAGGUGUAGCGGUGAAAUGCGUAGAUAUCUGGAGGAACAUCAGUGGCGAAGGCNACUCCCUGGCCAAAGACUGACGCUCAUGUGCGAAAGNGUGAGNAGCGAACAGG
rnacentral:rRNA from 1 species